CUGAAAUUAAAGGUACUAUUGGUAAAGUACAGUAACACAAGGAAUCCAAUAAACCAGAAAAUUCAAAACUGUAUCACAAUGGUUUAACAAUUUGCUCUAAAAAUGAGUUCAAACAAACCAAUAAGGCACAAUUAACAUGGGAAAAAACUCUAAAAUAAAACUUGUGAUUUACUAUAAUCACCCAAACCUAAGAGUCUUCCAAAAAGAUUGUUAUCUCAUUUUGUGGUCCAAAAUUAUGCCUUGGAGGCAACCUUUUCCUUUGCCUUCUGAAUUUUGAGGACCUUUUUCACGAUCUUUUGCUCUUCAACCAAGAAAGCCCUAAUGAUCCUAUAGAACCAGAGACAAAUAUAAUCAGAUUACAGCAUCAAUUAAAUCAAAUCAUUAAAUGUAAGAGCUGUAACAGCCUGUAAGAUAAGCAUACAAACCUUUCCCGAACAGCACCUCCAGACAAAACUCCGCCAUAAGCACGGUUCACAGUCCUACGGUUUCUAGGCAGCCUUGAUCUCUUGUACUCUGUAGGCCUCAAGUGUGGGAUCUGCAAUUAUAAAAAAAAAAUUAUCUUGCAAGCUCAAAUAAUCAUAGGCAGACCAAAAGUAAGAAACAUAUAAUACAUUGAAUAGUAAAAAAGCAUGUCAGAGGAAAAUCAUACAUAACAGAAAAUACAUUCUGCAGUAUAUAUCAUAUUAUUCAUGAUAUAUGCCAACAGAGCCAGCAUAUGAUUGUUCACGGAUUCUAAUUUUCUUUAUGAAACAAAAAGCUCACCAAACAUUCUAUAACAAAGCAAAAGAACAUCAACAAACAAUCAAGUGAAAUUUAUAACUGUUCAUAUAAUAAGAAACAUGGUAAUAUAAAUUAAAAAUAGAAGGCUUUAACUCCUAAUUUUGUUCCAAGUUAAGGCUUCAAGGUAUAUAAGUGUGUCAUGAUAGAAUUUCAAAAACUAAACUGGAAUCUGCAAUUGUCAAGCAUAAAUUAUCUUCCAAGCUCGAAUAACCAUACACCAACCAUUCCAAGACAAUGGAAGAGAACAAGCAAUCAAGUAAAAUUGUUAACUGGUCAUAUAUUAAAAAACAUGGUAAUAUUGAUUAAAAAUGCCAAGGUUGGGAUCUUGAUCUAGUUAACUGUACAGGAUAGGCAUAUGAUUGUAUCAAGAUAAAAAAUUAUACUUCUAGCAUGUCAAUUUAGUUUAAAUUCCGUAUGAUAAACUCAAAUAUCUUUCACAAUCUGACCUCAGUAUCCCAAUGCCAUGAGCAAUUGAUAUUUACUAAGGUUUGCAUUCAAAGCCAGAUAUUAGUGUAUAAUUUUAGGGAGUUAAUUUCCCCACCCUAUGAGUUCCUCCACAGCCUGUUCAGUUUGUAAAAUCCAAAAUAUUUUAACAUGUUUUGAAGGAUUUUAUAGGGUGUCAAUGUCGUUCGGAUUUUAUAAUCUGAACUGCAUAGGGCAAGCAAGAAACUUAAUAGGGUGGGAAAAGAAGGUGCCAUAAUUUUAUAUAAUUUUAUCAUUUUUCUUAGUCAUUAUUUAAAAGUUUGAAAUAAACAUCACAAGGACAAACUAGGUGCGAACCAAACAUUCACAAGCUCUGUUUGGAUAGACAUCUUAUCUUGCUGCAACUUAUAGCAGAAAAGAUAAGAUAAAGUUAUUUCUAUAACUUGAUAAAAGAAAGUUAAAUUAUUUUUGUAAAGCUACUAUAAGUUGUUUUUGUAAGCUAUCUUAGAGAGGUUACGAAAAUAAGCUGAAAAUAAUUUACGAACAUUUCAUAAGUUGUUUUCCUAAGUUCUCCUGAACUGUAUCACAUGUGUUUAUGCUUGUGGAUAAUCUCAAAUAAUCGAAUAUAUAACCACAUUUAGAAGUUUUAAUUUCAAAGGUAAUAAAGCAAAUCAAACACGAGAUAUCAAAGCAUUAUUCAAGUUAGAUAAUCAUCCCAAUACAACUAUCAUACAACAACAAAUAUUCAUCAGAGAAGAACAAAAAACCAGUUACCAUAAAUCACAACAUAAAACUAUAAACAAUGGCAACAACUUUUAACUUAUAAAAUCCAAGAUAAACAUCAUAAAUCAAAGGUAAACAACGAUAAUGAAGAGCAAUAAAACAAAACAACACAUGAGAAAUUACACAAACAUAAACAAUCGAAAAAAAUAAACGAAAUACAUACUCCUUGAAUUCUCUUGCCAGUAACAGGGCACUUAGGUCCACUAGCUCUCUUCUUAGUAGUCUGAUAAACAAGCUUACCACCUACAUUUCAACAAAACAAAAUCAAAACCAAUUUCAAAACAAAUCUGAGAUUCAGAAUCGAAGAAGAUGAAAUUGAAAACGAAAUUUACUUACCAGGGGUUUUGACAACCCUGUGUUGGUUGGAUUUGGUUGCGUAGCUGUGACGACGGCGAUAGGUGAGACGUUGCACCAUUUUCGAUCGAGAUUUUGCUGCCCCUACCUCACCGCUGAGCUUAUUA
rnacentral:lncRNA from 1 species